UGUAUGUGUGUGUGUGAGAGAGUGCAUGUUAGUGUGUGAGCUGUGAGCAUAUACCUCACAGUGUGUAUGUGUGUGUGUGUGCGCGCACGCAGCUAUCUUGAGUGUCAUAGUAAGUGUUCACCUCAUGGGAUUUGCUUGUAAAAUGAAGUUUCUCGUUGUCAGUCAGGAGGUUCUUCUAGUUCUGAGGCUGAUCCUGGCUGCUGGUCAGUAGUGACUCUCCGGACCCUCUGCAGUUCUUAGACUCACAGAUUUGCUAUCCGAGGCUGUGUGAGCUGUGGGACCCAGGGCAGGCCCUUUGCAAUCAAAGCCUGCUGAUCUCCUUGGGUUUGUGGUCUUCAGUACAGAAAGAGGACUCAUGGAUGUGUACUAUUCUAAUGCUGAAGUUGCUUUUUCAUAAGUUUCUGUCAUCUCCUGUUGCCACUUUAAUGUCCGCUGUCUUUCCAACUGUGGGUUUCGAUUGUGUUAGUGGGUUGAGCAUUUAGAAGCCAGAUUGGUAACAGUAUGGUAUAUUAAGCAGGUAUGAUUUGGAUAGGAAGAAACACGGUUGAAAUUCUGUUUGAGUCACGCACUGUGUGAAAAAGCACUUCUGGCCAGGCCGGGUAAUUCGUACAUGCUAUGAAACCUAGCACUUGGAGGCUGAGAUGGGGAGGGCAGAGAAUUUGAGGUCAGCCUGAAUUUCAGAGUGAGUUCAAGGCCAGCCUGAGCUGCCUAGCAAGACUGCAUUUCCACACAAAGUCUGAGCAUGGAAGAAUCUCCUGGUCCAUAAUUUCUUCCCAGCAGAAUAGCCUGAGAUCACUUAAGUUCCUAUUGGGACGACUUGCAUCAAUUUUUCUAACCUUUCUCUUUCCCCUUAGUCUUCACAGCUAGUGGUCGAUGUUAAGGCUUCAUUUAAAGGGUACCAGACUGGUGGGACCGCUGAGCUCCCCCAAGAUUGUAGCAACUAAUGGAGGGAUACCAAGUCAGGGAUCUAGGAUGCCUGGGUGUCUGCAGACUUGUGUCCAACUGUGGCUUCUCUCUCACCCUGGCUUGGCAGCAUUUCCCUAGAAACCUCUAACCGGUAGUGGGAGGCCUAUGGUAUGGUGGCUUGCACUGGCCCGUGGGGUGGAAGCGAGAUCCCGUGGUCAGGAGUGUUCACGACUGUAGGGAGCAUGCCAGGUGGGUGGAGGAGGAAAUUCCAUCCAGAUUAGGCAGAGACCAUGCAAGUCAGCUUGGUAAGCACAAGGAAGAAAGGAAACAGGAAAGAUUUGAAGUGGGGAACUUCCGUUGACCCUUUCACAGUCCUUCUUUGAGUGACUUGUCAGGAAAGUUCUGCUCCAGCCCUCGCUGGGUGAGCCCUCUGUUCUCCAGGCACCGAACGACUGGCUGACCCUGCUUACCUUACACUGGCUUACCUUACGGGCCCUCAUGGGUGUCUGUGGGAGAUGGGCAAGCAUGGAUACAGGUUAAGCAUGGAUACAGGCAAGCAUGGAUACAGGCAAGCAUGGAUACAGGCAAGCAUGGAUACAGGCUAAGCAUGGAUACAGGCAAGCUUUUAUACAGGCUAAGCAUGGAUAUGGCCUAAGCAUGAUAUAGCCUGGCCUGCCUUUGGGGAUAACCCUGGUGAGGCAGGUGCCAGGACACCCCCAGCCCUUGAGCUUUCCCAUUUGACUGGGAGGGAGUACUGGCAGCUGCCAGAGUCCCACUCUCAGUUCCUCAUGCUUUACAACAAAGUGUAGGGCAGCUGGUAGUGCAACUUCAGGAGGCCACGAAGUCCCAAAUUACUCUAUUCCCUGGAGCAAAAUGGUAAUGCUUUCUCUCCCCCUCUCCUUUCCCUGCCCUUCACUGAGAAGCGCGUUUGGACAGGUGAGUUAUAGGUGGACGGACACGGAGUCAAAAAAGAGUUCUCUUCAGCUAAGUUCUUCCAUUCUUUCAUGAUGCCCCGGUGCACUCUGAUAAUCAGAUCUGCUGUCUAUCUGCAUCCCUUUGCGAAGUUGGAACUCGACCCACACACAUUCCCUUACCCAGGAAUGGAAGGGAAGGACAGGCUGGUCGGGUCACAAAGGUGGGGGGAUAAUGCCCAGAAGAACAGUGAGUAGCAAAGGGGG